rnacentral:rRNA from 1 species
UGGGGAAUUUUGGACAAUGGGCGAAAGCCUGAUCCAGCAAUGCCGCGUGUGUGAAGAAGGCCUUCGGGUUGUAAAGCACUUUUGUCCGGAAAGAAAUCCUCUGGGUUAAUACCUCGGGGGGAUGACGGUACCGGAAGAAUAAGCACCGGCUAACUACGUGCCAGCAGCCGCGGUAAUACGUAGGGUGCAAGCGUUAAUCGGAAUUACUGGGCGUAAAGCGUGCGCAGGCGGUUUUGUAAGACGGAUGUGAAAUCCCCGGGCUUAACCUGGGAACUGCAUUCGUGACUGCAAGGCUAGAGUAUGGCAGAGGGGGGUAGAAUUCCACGUGUAGCAGUGAAAUGCGUAGAGAUGUGGAGGAAUACCGAUGGCGAAGGCAGCCCCCUGGGCCAAUACUGACGCUCAUGCACGAAAGCGUGGGGAGCAAACAGGAUUAGAUACCCUGGUAGUCCACGCCCUAAAACGAUGUCAACUAGUUGUUGGGGAUUCAUUUCCUUAGUAACGUAGCUAACGCGUGAAGUUGACCGCCUGGGGAGUACGGUCGCAAGAUUAAAACUUAAAUGAAUUGAC